rnacentral:rRNA from 1 species
AGAAUCAACGCUGGCGGCGUGCCUCAGACAUGCAAGUCGAACGCGAAAGUCCCCUUCGGGGGGGCAAGUAGAGUGGCGCACGGGUGAGUAACACGUAGGUAAUCUACCUUCGGAUGGGGGAAUAACAAUCGGAAACGGUUGCUAAUACCGCAUAAUGCAGCGGCACCUAAUGGUGACAGUUGUUAAAGCGGGGGAUCGAAAGACCUCGCGUCUGAAGAGGAGCCUGCGGCGGAUUAGCUAGUUGGUAAGGUAAUGGCUUACCAAGGCUACGAUCCGUAACCGGCCUGAGAGGGCGGUCGGUCACACUGACACUGACAGUACGGGUCAGACUCCGUACGGGAGGCAGCAGGUACGGGAAUUUUGGGACAAGUGGGCGAAAGCCUGACCCAGCAACGCGCGUGAAGGAUAGAAACUCCCGUACGGAUAGUAAAC